rnacentral:rRNA from 1 species
CGGCGGACGGGUGAGUAACACGUGGAUAACCUACCUAUAAGACUGGGAUAACUUCGGGAAACCGGAGCUAAUACCGGAUAAUAUAUUGAACCGCAUGGUUCAAUGGUGAAAGACGGUUUUGCUGUCACUUAUAGAUGGAUCCGCGCCGCAUUAGCUAGUUGGUAAGGUAACGGCUUACCAAGGCAACGAUGCGUAGCCGACCGGAGAGGGUGAUCGGCCACACUGGAACUGAGACACGGUCCAGACUCCUACGGGAGGCAGCAGGG